GAUCCCAAGCCUUCUGGCGGUCUGUUCAAGGAACCUUGGAAGCAAUGAAAGACUUCCGGGGGCAAGAGAGGCUUUCUCGGAGAGAGGGUUUUUCUGUUUUGUCAGAUCAUGCCGGGGGAGGUUUUUUCCGGUGUUCUCCGGAGGGCUUGUAGCUCAGUUGGUUAGAGCGCGCGCUUGAUAAGCGUGAGGUCGGAGGUUCAAGUCCUCCCAGGCCCACCAAUUAUUUAUGCUUGUCCCGACCAAUUUCCGCUUGCCAAUUCCCAGGUGCCGAUUCAUGUUUGCCAAAUGACGUCGUCAAUUUACGUUUAGGUCGUCAAAUUAUGUUUGUCGUGGAGCCUUUUGAGUGCUCUCGGCCUUUGGAGGGUGAAGCUUAUGCCCAGAAGGGGAGCUUUGAGAGGACGAUCGCCGUCCGGGCAGAUUGUUGAAGGGGCGGUUUGGUUGAGGCUUUGUUGAGGCUUGAAGGGCGUUAAAGAAAGCUGUUCGGGAGGCGAAGCUAUUCGAGCUGUUUUGAUUUUAGGGGGCCGUAGCUCAGCUGGGAGAGCACCUGCUUUGCAAGCAGGGG
rnacentral:misc_RNA from 1 species